AUAACCGUUUAAGAGAGUUGUAAAGUAAAUUGUUUAGGUAGUUUAUAAGGUCUGAAAUAAUUUUUUAAACUACACAUUGCUAAGUCAUUUCCCAUCAUGGAUGCAUUGAGCUGUAAUUUAUACAACAUGGAACUUGUCGAACUUGUCGAAAACAUCGAAUCAAUGGAACUGAUGUCAUCGCAACAUGACGAAGAACUUUACGAGCUCUGUGAUAAAAUGGAACAAACACAAGUCGAAACAACUAUUCAGAAAGGAGAAGGCAGCAGGAAGAGAUCAGCGUCGACGUUACUGAGUGGAGAGGAAAUAAAGAGGAAGAAAAAGCUUCACCUUGUAGCCCCAUCGACAUUAUCAUCAUCAACAAA